GAUGAACGCUAGCGGCAGGCUUAAUACAUGCAAGUCGAGGGGUAGCAAGAUUGUAGCAAUACAAUUGUUGACGACCGGCAAACGGGUGCGGAACACGUACACAACCUUCCUACAAGUGGGGAAUAGCCCAGAGAAAUUUGGAUUAAUACCCCGUAACAUAGCGAUGUGGCAUCACAUUGCUAUUAUAGCUUCGGCGCUUGUUGACGGGUGUGCGGCUGAUUAGAUAGUUGGCGGGGUAACGGCCCACCAAGUCUACGAUCAGUAGCUGAUGUGAGAGCAUGAUCAGCCACACGGGCACUGAGACACGGGCCCGACUCCUACGGGAGGCAGCAGUAAGGAAUACUGGACAAUGGACGCAAGUCUGAUCCAGCCAUGCCGCGUGAAGGAUUAAGGUCCUCUGGAUUGUAAACUUCUUUUAUAAGGGACGAAAAAAGGUCUUUCUAGAUCGUCUGACGGUACCGUAAGAAUAAGCACCGGCUAACUACGUGCCAGCCGCCGCAGUAAAAC
rnacentral:rRNA from 1 species